CAUGCAAGUCGAACGCCCCGCAAGGGGAGCGGCUGACGGGUGAGUAACGCGUGGGAAUCUACCCAUCACUACGGAACAACUCCGGGAAACUGGAGCUAAUACCGUAUACGCCCUUCGGGAGAAAAAUUUAUCGGUGAUGGAUGAGCCCGCGUUAGAUUGCCUAGUUGGUGGGGUAAUGGCCUACCAAGGCAACUAUCCAUAGCUGGGCUGAGAGGAUGAUCAACCACACUGGGACUGAAACACAGCCCAGACUCCUACGGGAGGCAGCAGUGGGGAAUAUUGGACAAUGGGCGAAAGCCUGAUCCAGCCAUGCCGCGUGAGUGAUGAAGGCCCUAGGGUUGUAAAGCUCUUUCAACGGGGAAGAUAAUGACGGUAGCUUUAGAACAAGCCCCGGCUAACUUCUUGCCAGCAGCCGCGGUAAUACGAAGGGGGCUAGCGUUGUUCGGAAUUACUGGGCGUAAAGCGCACGUANGCGGAUUGUUUAGUUAGGGGUGAAAUCANUUAGCUCAACUCUGGAACUGCCUCUNAUACUGGCAAUCUAGAGUCCAAAAGAGGUGAGUGGAAUUCCGANUGUAUAGGUGAAUUCNUAGAUGUUCUGAGGAACACCAGUGGCGAAUGCGGCUCACUGGCUCGNUACUGACGCUGA
rnacentral:rRNA from 1 species